UACGAAGGGGGCUAGCGUUGCUCGGAAUCACUGGGCGUAAAGCGCACGUAGGCGGCUUUUUAAGUCAGGGGUGAAAUCCUGGAGCUCAACUCCAGAACUGCCUUUGAUACUGAGAAGCUUGAGUCCGGGAGAGGUGAGUGGAACUGCGAGUGUAGAGGUGAAAUUCGUAGAUAUUCGCAAGAACACCAGUGGCGAAGGCGGCUCACUGGCCCGGUACUGACGCUGAGGUGCGAAAGCGUGGGGAGCAACAGG
rnacentral:rRNA from 1 species